UGCAGUCGAACGAGUUCUGAUUAUUGAAAGGUGCUUGCAUCUUGAUUUAAUUUUGAACGAGUGGCGGACGGGUGAGUAACACGUGGGUAACCUGCCCUUAAGUGGGGGAUAACAUUUGGAAACAGAUGCUAAUACCGCAUAAAUCCAAGAACCGCAUGGUUCUUGGCUGAAAGAUGGCGUAAGCUAUCGCUUUUGGAUGGACCCGCGGCGUAUUAGCUAGUUGGUGAGGUAACGGCUCACCAAGGCAAUGAUACGUAGCCGAACUGAGAGGUUGAUCGGCCACAUUGGGACUGAGACACGGCCCAAACUCCUACGGGAGGCAGCAGUAGGGAAUCUUCCACAAUGGACGCAAGUCUGAUGGAGCAACGCCGCGUGAGUGAAGAAGGCUUUCGGGUCGUAAAACUCUGUUGUUGGAGAAGAAUGGUCGGCAGAGUNACUGUUGUCGGCGUGACGGUAUCCAACCAGAAAGCCACGGCUAACUACGUGCCAGCAGCCGCGGUAAUACGUAGGUGGCAAGCGUUAUCCGGAUUUAUUGGGCGUAAAGCGAGCGCAGGCGGUUUUUUAAGUCUGAUGUGAAAGCCCUCGGCUUNACCGAGGAAGUGCAUCGGAAACUGGGAAACUUGAGUGCAGAAGAGGACAGUGGAACUCCAUGUGUAGCGGUGAAAUGCGUAGAUAUAUGGAAGAACACCAGUGGCGAAGGCGGCUGUCUGGUCUGUAACUGACGCUGAGGCUCGAAAGCAUGGGUAGCGAACAGGAUUAGAUACCCUGGUAGUCCAUGCCGUAAACGAUGAAUGCUAGGUGUUGGAGGGUUUCCGCCCUUCAGUGCCGCAGC
rnacentral:rRNA from 2 species